ACAAGAACGGCGCCUAGAUUUCGUGUUACAGGUCGUCCAUACUUCGUCUGCAUUUCAGUGGCCGCUCUGCUAGGAUAUCGACAUCCUCCAUCGUCUGUUCUCUUCGUGUCUGCUGUGCGUUUGCGCUCAGCUGGCUGCAGCAGAGGUUUCCUCUGUCGGUCGAAUUGAAGGCUGAGGGGUCGGUCCGCGUCCGACAGCCGCUCUGCUCGGGCCUACACACACGGUUAGCUGUGCUUGAGCAAGGCUAAACGCUCAAUCUAAUCUUCGAGGGAUUAAAAAAAAAAUCAAUCAGUGACUUUUUCAGCCUGAAAGAAUUUCUAUCCAAAAGUCCUCAGAUUGUGCUCAGUUCAGACACUGAAGCGUGUGGCCACUGGAUGCCAUGAUCCAGCUACUUCAAAGGAUUUUUCCUCCUAUGGCAUUUUAAGAAAGGAACAAAGUAUCAAACGUAUCCAAAUAAACCUCUGGAUCACAAGGCCUUUAUUUCAAGGAUAGUCAUAAAUGUGUGGGCCUGCACAGGGAUGUUUUCUCUAGAAGCCUCCGUGGCUGUCUGUGUCCCCUUUUUCCUCAAAUAAAUAACCCGACAAAAGACACUCCCAUGAGCAACUCUGCAGCAGGCACGAUAACGUCGACAUGAGUAGUACUUUAGGCAAAGAAAAAGAUUCGAAAGAAAAGGACCCCAAAGGUGGUCCAGUGGGGAAAGAAAGGGAAAAGGAGGCCAAGGCUCUGGCCAGCUUAGUCAAAGAUGGUGGCAAAGAAUCGAAGACCAAAGGGAAAGAUGCCAAAGAAGGAAAGAAAGACACCAGCAGCUCAACACCGGGUGUUGCCUUCUCUGUUGACAAUACAAUAAAGCGGCCAAACCCGGCACCAGGUACCCGCAAGAAGUCCAGCAAUGCUGAGGUGAUCAAAGAACUUAACAAGUGCCGGGAGGAGAACUCAAUGAGACUGGAUUUAUCUAAACGGUCAAUUCACAUGCUGCCCACUUCCAUUAAGGAACUGACACAGCUGGCUGAACUCUACUUAUACAGCAACAAACUGCAGAGUCUGCCGGCUGAGGUGGGUUGCCUCUCAAGCCUGGUCACUUUGGCCCUGAGCGAGAACUCCCUGACCAGUUUGCCCGACUCCCUGGACUCCCUUAAGAAGCUUCGAAUGCUUGAUCUCCGGCACAACAAGCUGAGAGAAAUACCGGCUGUUGUCUACCGGCUGACAUCUCUGACCACGCUGUACCUGCGCUUCAACCGCAUAACAACGGUGGAAAAAGACAUCCGAAACCUCUCCAAGCUCACUAUGCUUAGCAUUCGGGAGAACAAGAUUAAACAGCUGCCUGCAGAGAUAGGGGAGCUAUGCAACCUCAUUACUCUGGAUGUUGCCCAUAACCAGUUGGAACACCUACCGAAGGAGAUUGGAAAUUGCACACAGAUAACCAACCUCGACUUGCAGCACAAUGAGCUCUUGGACCUCCCAGAGACUAUAGGCAAUCUGGCAAGCAUAAAUCGCUUAGGUCUGCGAUACAAUAGAUUGUCAGCCAUACCAAGAUCAUUAGCCAGAUGUCGAGAACUAGAGGAGCUAAACCUUGAAAACAACAACAUUUCAGUGUUGCCAGAGGGCCUGCUGUCAAGUUUGGUGAACCUGACAAGUCUAACACUGGCAAGGAACUGCUUCCAGUCAUACCCUGUGGGUGGACCGUCCCAGUUCUCCACCAUCUACUCUCUCAACAUGGAGCACAACCGCAUCAACAAGAUUCCCUUUGGUAUCUUCUCGAGGGCGAAAGUGUUAAGCAAGCUUAACAUGAAGGACAACCAGUUAACGUCUCUGCCGUUAGACUUCGGCACAUGGACUAGCAUGGUCGAGCUUAACCUGGCCACCAAUCAGUUGACUAAGAUCCCAGAGGAUGUCUGUGGUCUAGUCUCUUUAGAGGUGUUGAUAUUAUCCAAUAAUCUUCUCAAGAAGCUACCACAUGGUAUUGGGAAUUUGAGAAAGCUACGGGAGCUUGACUUGGAGGAAAACAAGUUGGAAUCUCUACCUAAUGAAAUUGCUUAUCUUAAAGAUUUACAAAAAUUGGUGCUGACAAAUAAUCAGCUGACUACAUUACCCAGAGGCAUUGGCCACCUCACCAACUUGACACAUCUGGGUUUGGGGGAGAACCUGCUCCAGCAUCUUCCUGAGGAGAUUGGUACACUGGAGAACCUGGAGGAACUAUACCUCAACGACAACCCCAAUCUACACAGCCUACCAUUCGAGCUGGCACUCUGCAGCAAAUUGUCCAUCAUGAGCAUUGAGAACUGUCCUCUCAGCCACCUGCCGCCCCAGAUUGUCGCAGGAGGCCCCUCCUUCAUCAUCCAGUUUCUCAAGAUGCAGGGACCAUACCGUGCCAUGGUCUGAACCAAGAGCAGUUCAGUCUCAGUUCCAUCGAACUCCAAAUCCUCCACUUGCUCUGCACCCUCUCACCUGCCCACCCCCAUUAUGUGUAUCAUACACUGUAAAGAAACAGACUGGCCACAAUCAGUGUCGGGGGCAAAUAAGAAGAGGAAGAUGUUUCUUUCACCAUCCUCGGGCAGAAACGAGGCGAACCUUCGGAGGCUUGUCUUCCGUGUUACACCAGAGUUUAUCACGGCCAUUUUAGGACCUGGCCACCCCAUGCUCAUCUGUCAUUCCGAAUGAUAUCAGAGGAAAAUAUUUCCACCUCUUUGCCAAAACUGAAGAUAUAUAAAUUUAUAUAUAUUGAUAAACUGUGAGCUAUGUGGCAAGUCUUUUAACCAUAUAAACUGUGCUCCCAUUGCCAAUGUAUUUACAGUAAUUACAAGCAUCUACUAUGUGAGCAAAGAUACAAUUGUAUGCAAAAACAAAAAAAAAGUCUUUUGAACUUUUGAACAUAUUUACUGCUGCUGCCGUAAUUUUAACUGUCAUCUUGUUGUAUUUUCUUUUGGUAUCCCCCUUUUUUUAACAUCAUCAUCCUGAAGAUAACUUAUGUUAAAUUGCUUCUUGAUUAUGGAGAACAAAGGUCUAAUAAUGACGUGUUAUUUCUUUUUUUGUAUUUUUUAUUUUUAUUUUUUUGAGGUUUUAAAAACUGUGCCUAUGUUUAGAGUGACCCAGUGGUUCAUUUCUAAACACAACUGUCCAUGCGAAUACAAAGAUAAAUUGUUUUUCUUUUUUUUUUUUUUUCUUUUUUUUUUUUUUUUCUGCUGUUACUUUAUUUUUUCCCUUUUUUGCUGUUGCAUUAAUCUAAGUGUUGGACUGCAUAGCUGUCAUCCAGUUGAUCUCUGACCAACAUAUCAAGCGUUUUUAAAAGACAUCGUCUGGGUCUCUGGAGCAAGUGGUGAGUGUAUGAGAGCAAAACGUUUGAUAAUAAAAUUUUGACAGGUAACUCCUUGACACAUUCUUUUUUUUAAUAUUCUCCUUUUUUUGUAGUUUCUUUAGACGGGGUCUCCUAAGAAUCGUCCGGUGUUUUUGAUUUCUAAUUUAAUGUUUUCUUUGUUUUGUUUUGUUGUUUUUUUUGUCCCACACUGUCCCAGCAAUGCUGCUGCUCUUGUGCACUUUGUUAAAGACUUUGGCAUCUUCUAUAUUAAGACAAAAACACCGUAGCCUCUCAUUGGUUAUUUUGAGUGGGGGCAUUUUGUUUCAUAAGUAAGGAUUUUAUCUGGUAAUCAGUUUGUCAUGUAGAUUUGUAUCACUCACAUAUAAAUGUUGGGUUUCACAGGCUCAUGAUGUACUACUAACUUUCUCUGGGGAAGUUUUAUCCUAUCAAUCUUAAAGGAACUUGCUCUCCCGAUCUAUAAAAGGGUCUGUGUAGCUGUGCAAUGGUGUAAAAUAACUCAUAUCCUGCUUGUCUCCAUUGCAAGAGAAACAGCUCACUGCAGUUCAGAUCAGCAUUGUCUUAUUUUAAAUAGAUUUAUGUUGUUUCCUUUUUUCUAAUGAUGAACUGUAUAUUCAGUUAGUAUUAUUUCAAGUGAUUGUACAUUAAAAAUCCCAACAACAGGUAAUAAAACCACCCCCCACCCCCCUUUUUCUUUUUAAUGUUUCAUCCCAACUUUAUAUCCAAUCAUGAUUCUAUUUUAUAUUGAAAUGUGUGGGUCUACUUUUUUAUGUUUUGCAGCAGCAGCUUGGCGUGUUUUGCGUGGGCUGUGGUCUGUCUCCUCCACAGCUCAUCUUGGGACAGGUUUGCGGGGAAACAAUAUGCCGCUGCUUCUAAUUUACCAGCAAAACCUGUUGCUGCUUUUCGUGGACUUAAACAUAUGCUGUACAAGACAACGGCGGGAAGGCGGGAAAUGGUCCGCUCCCAACACCGAUACAGACUUCACCCGAAAAACCUGACGAGGGACAAAUCCACUGACCUUUUUUGGUUUGGCGUCAGGUCCGGGCGUUUUCUUACUGAUCAGAUUGUUUGGACACAACGAUGAGAAAACACAAGUUUGUUCACGUGCCAUUCUGCCAGGCUGAGAAGGCCAAUGUAGUGGAAGAUGCCGAGGAUGACUGGAGGGCUAAUCAGCCAGAGAGCAUUUAUCACACCCUGGAAUGUAGUUGUAAAGUGCUGUGGAGGAAGAGGUGGAGAUAUCACCGACUGGCCUGUAUCGGUUAAAACCUGUGGUUGGAUUAAAAGUGAUGAUUGCAUACUGGUGCAUCCAAAAUAACUGGGAGUAUAAUUGGGGUUUAUCUUUGUAUUGUGUGUGAAUUUAGGCCAUCGCACAAUCAAAGUCCUUUUAUUUUGUUAUUUUUUUUUCCUGGGGUCAUGCAGCUGGUCUUUUUCUUGCCUGGACAUUUUAUACAGGUAACAAACGUAUUGAACACAUAUUUGUCUGGGUCAGAACCAGCAUUUCUGCAUAGAGGACUUUGAUUUAGUGACUACUGGUGUGUCUGCAAAUGCUCCUUUUUGUAUAUUGCAAAGGGUAUCUAAGCAUUGUGGGGCAAUGCCUAUCCUACUUAAUCUACAUUGACAAGCAGCCUUAACGGUCUUUAAGAGUCCUUUGUUUGGCUGUUCCUUGUGUCUCUGGCCACUGACUGUACCUAAUGAGAAGCAUCUGGUUAUUACGAUGUAAAUUUGGCUCUAGUUUCUUUGUCUUACUUUUCCUUUUAUUUUGCGCAGUGAUCUGGCGUUAUGGUAGACUCAGUAUUACAACAUCUAAUGUGAUGAAGGUUUUACAGAAAGGCCGAGUGCAAUUGAAGAUAAUGCCAUUAUGCUGCAAAGUGGAUGUGCAUUCGCUUGCAUCUUAGUUUGUCUUUGGCAUUAAAGGGGAAUCCCACCAAAACUGACUUUUAUUGAUUUUUAUUAUUUAGCAGUUAUCUCUCAAUAGAAAAGCUUUUGUUUUAUUAUAAUUAUUUCCAGAAGUUUUCAGUCAUGAGUUUAAAUACAGUAGUGUGAAAAUGUAGAAAUGGAUUUUUAACAUUAAAGGAUGUUUAAUUCUUUUUACCACACCCAUAUUAAGCAUCUGGAACAAGAAAUAAAUGCUGUAUUAAAAGCAGACAUGACUCAGUUUUCUUAGUUUAGUUUCAUAUGAUAGGAUAGGAUCACAUGUUCUUCAGAAUAAAUAAAUACAUGCAUGUCCACUUUUUUCUGGUUAAACCAAGCCAGUUUUGGUGGAAUAGCCUUUUAACGUGACUCCGCCUGCUCCUUCUCACUGCGUACCUGCCUGAAACCCACUCACACCCCCUCUGUACUAUCUCCAUACAUUUACUUGACUGCCUUGUGUGCACUAAGCAAAACCUUUAUUAUCUACUGGUUUCAUCAACAGAGACAAAUAAUUGUUUUUUUUCCAGUUUUGGUUAAUGUCAGUGAAGGGACCUGGGUCCAUGAAUCGAACAGAUGCUGAAAGCAAAGGUUUUGGGUCAGUUGAAUCUUCACUGGACGAGCAGAUGCAGAAGUGACUACCUCUAUGUGAGUCUUUCAUUGCUAACCACAGUGACCGAGAACCAGUCUGAGGGGUUUCUACCUGUACAAAGCUGUGUGUGGGCAGCAGGAACUUAGAUUUGGACCAGCAAUUAAUCAGUUUUGCUUAGUAUCAUUCUAUUGUUUUAUUUUGGUUAUAUUCCUUUACUAAGUUUUAUUUGGCAAAUGAAAAAGGAAAAAAAAAAAAUCUCUGAGUUGUGUGCUUGGUUGUAAAUGACAAACUUGGUCAAUGCCGCCCCAUUGUAAAACAGUUAUUCUGAAACUGGCUAACUGCAGAGAGCUACUUUACAAAUGAGUGAAAAUGACCCAGUUUGGUGAUAUUCUGUACAUACAUCUUUUUAACUGUAAUAAAUGAUAAAAAUUUACAAAUGUAUGUGUUGCAUGU